GGGUUGUGAGGUUAAGCGACUAAGCGUACACGGUGGAUGCCCUGGCAGUCAGAGGCGAUGAAGGACGUGCUAAUCUGCGAAAAGCGUCGGUAAGGUGAUAUGAACCGUUACAGCCGGCGAUGUCCGAAUGGGGAAACCCAGUGUGAUUCGUCACACUAUCGUUAACUGAAUACAUAGGUUAACGAGGCGAACCGGGGGAACUGAAACAUCUAAGUACCCCGAGGAAAAGAAAUCAACCGAGAUUCCCCCAGUAGCGGCGAGCGAACGGGGAGCAGCCCAGAGUCUGAAUCAGCUUGUGUGUUAGUGGAACGGUCUGGAAAGUCCGACGGUACAGGGUGAUAGUCCCGUACACCAAAAUGCACAGGUUGUGAACUCGAAGAGUAGGGCGGGACACGUGGUAUCCUGUCUGAAUAUGGGGGGACCAUCCUCCAAGGCUAAAUACUCCUGACUGACCGAUAGUGAACCAGUACCGUGAGGGAAAGGCGAAAAGAACCCCGGCGAGGGGAGUGAAAAAGAACCUGAAACCGUGUACGUACAAGCAGUGGGAGCACCUUCGGGUGUGACUGCGUACCUUUUGUAUAAUGGGUCAGCGACUUAUAUUCUGUAGCAAGGUUAACCGUAUAGGGGAGCCGCAGGGAAACCGAGUCUUAACUGGGCGUUAAGUUGCAGGGUAUAGACCCGAAACCCGGUGAUCUAGCCAUGGGCAGGUUGAAGGUUGGGUAACACUAACUGGAGGACCGAACCGACUAAUGUUGAAAAAUUAGCGGAUGACUUGUGGCUGGGGGUGAAAGGCCAAUCAAACCGGGAGAUAGCUGGUUCUCCCCGAAAGCUAUUUAGGUAGCGCCUCGUGAACUCAUCUUCGGGGGUAGAGCACUGUUUCGGCUAGGGGGUCAUCCCGACUUACCAACCCGAUGCAAACUACGAAUACCGAAGAAUGUUAUCACGGGAGACACACGGCGGGUGCUAACGUCCGUCGUGAAGAGGGAAACAACCCAGACCGCCAGCUAAGGUCCCAAAGUCACAGUUAAGUGGGAAACGAUGUGGGAAGGCACAGACAGCCAGGAUGUUGGCUUAGAAGCAGCCAUCAUUUAAAGAAAGCGUAAUAGCUCACUGGUCGAGUCGGCCUGCGCGGAAGAUGUAACGGGGCUAAACUGUGCACCGAAGCUGCGGCAGCGACACUAUGUGUUGUUGGGUAGGGGAGCGUUCUGUAAGCCUGCGAAGGUGGCCUGUGAGGGUUGCUGGAGGUAUCAGAAGUGCGAAUGCUGACAUAAGUAACGAUAAUGCGGGUGAAAAGCCCGCACGCCGGAAGACCAAGGGUUCCUGUCCAACGUUAAUCGGGGCAGGGUGAGUCGACCCCUAAGGCGAGGCCGAAAGGCGUAGUCGAUGGGAAACAGGUUAAUAUUCCUGUACUUGGUGUUACUGCGAAGGGGGGACGGAGAAGGCUAUGUUAGCCGGGCGACGGUUGUCCCGGUUUAAGCAUGUAGGCGGAGGUUCCAGGUAAAUCCGGUACCUUUUAACGCUGAGGUGUGAUGACGAGGCACUACGGUGCUGAAGUAACAAAUGCCCUGCUUCCAGGAAAAGCCUCUAAGCAUCAGGUAACAUUAAAUCGUACCCCAAACCGACACAGGUGGUCAGGUAGAGAAUACCAAGGCGCUUGAGAGAACUCGGGUGAAGGAACUAGGCAAAAUGGUGCCGUAACUUCGGGAGAAGGCACGCUGAUAUGUAGGUGAAGCCCCUGCGGGUGGAGCUGAAAUCAGUCGAAGAUACCAGCUGGCUGCAACUGUUUAUUAAAAACACAGCACUGUGCAAACACGAAAGUGGACGUAUACGGUGUGACGCCUGCCCGGUGCCGGAAGGUUAAUUGAUGGGGUUAUCCGUAAGGAGAAGCUCUUGAUCGAAGCCCCGGUAAACGGCGGCCGUAACUAUAACGGUCCUAAGGUAGCGAAAUUCCUUGUCGGGUAAGUUCCGACCUGCACGAAUGGCGUAAUGAUGGCCAGGCUGUCUCCACCCGAGACUCAGUGAAAUUGAACUCGCUGUGAAGAUGCAGUGUACCCGCGGCAAGACGGAAAGACCCCGUGAACCUUUACUAUAGCUUGACACUGAACAUUGAGCCUUGAUGUGUAGGAUAGGUGGGAGGCUUUGAAACGUGGACGCCAGUCUGCGUGGAGCCAACCUUGAAAUACCACCCUUUAAUGUUUGAUGUUCUAACGUUGGCCCCUGACCGGGGUUGCGGACAGUGUCUGGUGGGUAGUUUGACUGGGGCGGUCUCCUCCCAAAGAGUAACGGAGGAGCACGAAGGUUAGCUAAUCCUGGUCGGACAUCAGGAGGUUAGUGCAAUGGCAUAAGCUAGCUUGACUGCGAGCGUGACGGCGCGAGCAGGUGCGAAAGCAGGUCAUAGUGAUCCGGUGGUUCUGAAUGGAAGGGCCAUCGCUCAACGGAUAAAAGGUACUCCGGGGAUAACAGGCUGAUACCGCCCAAGAGUUCAUAUCGACGGCGGUGUUUGGCACCUCGAUGUCGGCUCAUCACAUCCUGGGGCUGAAGUAGGUCCCAAGGGUAUGGCUGUUCGCCAUUUAAAGUGGUACGCGAGCUGGGUUUAGAACGUCGUGAGACAGUUCGGUCCCUAUCUGCCGUGGGCGCUGGAGAAUUGAGGGGGGCUGCUCCUAGUACGAGAGGACCGGAGUGGACGCAUCACUGGUGUUCGGGUUGUCAUGCCAAUGGCAUUGCCCGGUAGCUAAAUGCGGAAGAGAUAAGUGCUGAAAGCAUCUAAGCACGAAACUUGCCCCGAGAUGAGUUCUCCCUGAGACUUUAAGUCUCCUGAAGGAACGUUAAAGACGAUGACGUUGAUAGGUCGGGUGUGUAAGCGUAGCGAUACGUUGAGCUAACCGAUACUAAUGAACCGUGAGGCUUAACCUUACAACGCCGAAG
rnacentral:rRNA from 1 species